rnacentral:rRNA from 1 species
CGAGCGGAAGAUGGGAGCUUGCUCCCUGAUGUUAGCGGCGGACGGGUGAGUAACACGUGGGUAACCUGCCUGUAAGACUGGGAUAACUCCGGGAAACCGGGGCUAAUACCGGAUGCUUGUUUGAACCGCAUGGUUCAAACAUAAAAGGUGGCUUCGGCUACCACUUACAGAUGGACCCGCGGCGCAUUAGCUAGUUGGUGAGGUAAUGGCUCACCAAGGCAACGAUGCGUAGCCGACCUGAGAGGGUGAUCGGCCACACUGGGACUGAGACACGGCCCAGACUCCUACGGGAGGCAGCAGUAGGGAAUCUUCCGCAAUGGACGAAAGUCUGACGGAGCAACGCCGCGUGAGUGAUGAAGGUUUUCGGAUCGUAAAGCUCUGUUGUUAGGGAAGAACAAGUGCCGUUCAAAUAGGGCGGCACCUUGACGGUACCUAACCAGAAAGCCACGGCUAACUACGUGCCAGCAGCCGCGGUAAUACGUAGGUGGCAAGCGUUGUCCGGAAUUAUUGGGCGUAAAGGGCUCGCAGGCGGUUUCUUAAGUCUGAUGUGAAAGCCCCCGGCUCAACCGGGGAGGGUCAUUGGAAACUGGGGAACUUGAGU